rnacentral:rRNA from 1 species
UACGUAGGGGGCUAGCGUUGUCCGGAAUCAUUGGGCGUAAAGAGCGUGUAGGCGGCCCGGAAAGUCCGCUGUAAAAGUCAAAGGCUCAACCUUUGAAUGUCAGUGGAUACUGCCGGGCUAGAGUCCGGAAGAGGCGAGUGGAACUCCUGGUGUAGCGGUGGAAUGCGCAGAUAUCAGGAAGAACACCAACGGCGAAGGCAGCUCGCUGGGACGGUACUGACGCUGAGACGCGAAAGCGUGGGGAGCGAACAGG